UACGUAGGGUCCGAGCGUUGUCCGGAAUUACUGGGCGUAAAGAGCUCGUAGGUGGUUUGUCGCGUUGUUCGUGAAAACUCACAGCUCAACUGUGGGCGUGCGGGCGAUACGGGCAGACUGGAGUACUGCAGGGGAGACUGGAAUUCCUGGUGUAGCGGUGGAAUGCGCAGAUAUCAGGAGGAACACCGGUGGCGAAGGCGGGUCUCUGGGCAGUAACUGACGCUGGAGGAGCGGAAAAGCGUGGGGAGCGAACAGG
rnacentral:rRNA from 1 species